AGCAAAUAGAAAAUAUAUGAUUCUAGAAUCUCGAGGUGGAAAAGGUCUUCUUUUUUGAGGAACAAGCCUUAGAUAAUGGUUCAGUGGUUCUAUAUGGAGCCAGAGACGUAAGAUAGUGGUUCAAUGACAGGUGGAAAAGUUCCUGGCUACCAUAUAACUUUAUAAAAAGCCAAAUGCUCACAUGAUUUCAAACUAGACGACCCAAUUAGUCCCUAUUUUCUUCUCUUUAACAAGAUGGCAAUGGUAGAAGAGAAAGGCCCUGCAGAUGAAAGAGAAGAUUACACGCAAGAUGGGACUGUGGAUCUCAAGGGUAGACCUGUUUUAAGAUCAAAGACUGGGAGAUGGAAAGCUUGUUAUUUCAUUGUAGGGUAUGAAAUGUUUGAGAGGAUGGCAUACUAUGGGAUUGCAUCAAAUCUAGUGAUAUAUCUAACAGAUAAGCUCCAUGAAGGCACUGUAAACUCUGCAAACAAUGUGACCAAUUGGGCUGGUACUGUAUGCUUGACACCCAUUUUAGGUGCCUACAUUGCAGAUACUUAUCUCGGCCGAUAUUGGACUUUUGUAAUUGCAUCAGGAAUUUAUCUCUUGGGAAUGUGCCUCUUAACCCUAACAGUCUCAUUGCCAACCUUAAAACCACCAUCUUGUGGUCAUGAGGUCAAAGCAGUGGACUGCAACAAACCAGUCCUCAUCUUUGCAAGUGAGUAUAUUUUAUUUUGCCUUAUACAUAAUUGCUAUUGGGACUGGUGGAACCAAGCCCAACAUUUCAACCAUGGGAGCAGACCAAUUUGAUGACUUUGAGCCCAAGGAAAGGUUCCACAAGCUCUCCUUCUUUAAUUGGUGGAUGUUUAGCAUUUUCUUUGGCACCCUCUUCUCUAACACUUUCUUGAUCUACAUACAAGCAAAUGUGGGUUGGAGCCUUGGCUAUGGCCUUCCAACAAUUGGCCUAUUGAUUUCAGUUUUGGUGUUCUUGGUGGGUACUCCAUUUUAUAGACACAAACUGCCUUCAGGGAGUCCUAUCAUUAAGAUAACUAAAGUACUUGUGGCUGCUGUAAGGAAGUGGAAGGUAACUGUCCCAAAUGACCCAAAAGAGCUUCAUGAGUUGAGAUUGGAAGAAUAUGCCAAAAAUGGGAAAUACAGAAUUGAGUACACCCCUUCAUUAAGAUUCCUUGACAAAGCAGCGAUAAAGACCAGGGCAGCCUCACCAUGGAUGUUAUGUCCAGUGACCCAAGUAGAAGAAACAAAGCAAAUGAUGAAAUUGCUUCCAAUUUUGAUUGCUACAAUCAUACCAAGCGUCAUAGUAGCUCAAUCAAAUACACUUUUUAUCAAACAAGGCACCACCCUAAAUAGGAGCAUGGGUCCUCAUUUUGAAAUCCCUCCAGCAUGUCUCCAAGCAUUUGUGACCAUCUUCAUGCUGAUAAGCCUUGUAAUCUAUGACCGCCUCUUCGUUCCAACAGUUCGGCGCUACACAAAGAACCCCAGAGGGAUUUCAUUACUACAAAGACUAGGAAUUGGCCUUACGUUGCAUGUUAUUAUCAUGGUCACAGCUUGCCUUGCUGAAAGAAAGAGACUCAAGGUUGCAAGAGAAAACCAAAUAUUUGGCAAAAGUGAUACAGUUCCUCUUACUAUUUUCAUUCUCCUCCCUCAAUUUGGAUUGGUGGGCAUCGCUGAUGCCUUUGUGGAAGUUGCAAAGCUAGAGUUGUUCUAUGACCAGGCUCCAGAAAGCAUGAAAAGCCUGGGGACCUCAUAUUUCACUAGUACCUUGGGAAUUGGUCAAUUUCUUAGUAGUUUUCUUUUAAAAACAGUGGCUGAUAUGACCAAGAGGCAUGGCCACAAGGGCUGGAUUUUGGAUAAUCUAAAUGCAUCUCAUUUAGAUUACUAUUAUGCUUUCUUGGCCAUCCUCAGCUUUCUCAACUUCUUCUUCUUUCUGCUUAUAGCAAAGCACUUCGUUUACAAUGUUGACGUGACGGAAUCCAGGAGGGGCAUAGCCAUGGAAACUUCAAGCAAAGCAUCAUCUCAAGAUAAUGAAGUAUCGUCUCGAGAUAAUGAAGUCUUGAAGACGGGACUAAGCUUAUAAAAAGUUAUGUAUAUUGCUUGUUUUUCAUAAUCAAAUACGAUUAUUGUAAGCGUA